GGCUCGAUGGUCUAGUGGUUAUGAUUCUCGCUUUGGGUGUGAGAGGUCCCGGGUUCAAAUCCCGGUCGGGCCC